UACGGGGGGGGCAAGCGUUGUUCGGAAUUACUGGGCGUAAAGGGCUCGUAGGUGGCCAACUAAGUCACACGUGAAAUCCCUCGGCUUAACCGGGGAACUGCGUGUGAUACUGGAUGGCUUGAGUUUGGGAGAGGGAUGCGGAAUUCCAGGUGUAGCGGUGAAAUGCGUAGAUAUCUGGAGGAACACCGGUGGCGAAGGCGGCAUCCUGGACCAAUACUGACGCUGAGGAGCGAAAGCCAGGGGAGCAAACAGG
rnacentral:rRNA from 1 species